AUAUAUAUAUAUAUAUAUAUAUAUAUAUAUAGCAGCGAGGACUGCUCUGUCAAAGAAACACCAUCUCCAAUCAAGACCUAGCACCACCGAGGCAGCAACAGAAACAACAGAUAUAAAACAGUACAAUACACCAAAGCAGAAAAGACGCCAGGAAAGGGCUGGCUCUUGGGCAAGGCUGAAAUGUAGCCACCACUAUGACCUUCAUGACAAGAAUGGCAGUCCCUACUGCAGAACAGCUCUUGUGGAAGAGGCUGAAGACAAUGGAGUGACUCGGGAGCCAUGAAGUGUGCCCUGGAAAGCACUGAGAUGACACAAUGAAAGGUUAACC